rnacentral:rRNA from 1 species
GAUGAACGCUAGCUACAGGCUUAACACAUGCAAGUCGAGGGACCGGCGCACGGGUGAGUAACACGUAUCCAACCUGCCCUUUACUCGGGGAUAGCCUUUCGAAAGAAAGAUUAAUACCCGAUCUAAAGGAUGGGGAUGCGUUCCAUUAGGUUGUUGGUGAGGUAACGGCUCUCCAAGCCUUCGAUGGAUAGGGGUUCUGAGAGGAAGGUCCCUCACAUGUGAACGGCGCAACGGUCCAAACUCGUACGGGAGGCAGCAGGGAGGAAGAGGAGUCAAUGGGCGCGAGCCUGAACCAGCCAAGUAGUGUGAAGAAGGAAGGAUUGUGGGUCGUAAACUGCUUUUAUAUAUGAAUAUGUAUUAUAUUGAUAAGGAUGGGCUAACUCCGUGCCAGCAGCCGCGGUAAUUC